ACGCUCGACACCUACGGGGGCAGCAGUUGGGAAUAUUGGACAAUGGAGGAAACUCUGAUCCAGUGACGCCGCGUGAAGGAAGAAGGUCUUCGGAUUGUAAACUUAUUUUGUCAGGGAAGAAAAAUGACUGUACCUGAAGAAAAAGCACCGGCUAACUACGUGCCAGCAGCCGCGGUAAUCUGAGGCGGGCUGGCAAGGC
rnacentral:rRNA from 1 species